rnacentral:tRNA from 1 species
GAUGUCAAGAUGGAUGCUAAACACACCCAAGGACA